rnacentral:rRNA from 1 species
UACGGGGGGAGCAAGCGUUGUUCGGAUUUACUGGGCGUAAAGGGCGCGUAGGCGGCCACCGCAAGUCGACUGUGAAAUCUCCGGGCUUAACCCGGAAAGGUCAGCCGAUACUGCGGGGCUAGAGUGCAGAAGGGGCAACUGGAAUUCUCGGUGUAGCGGUGAAAUGCGUAGAUAUCGAGAGGAACACCUGCGGCGAAGGCGGGUUGCUGGGCUGACACUGACGCUGAGGCGCGAAAGCGUAGGGGAGCAAACGGG